UACAGAGGGUGCGAGCGUUAAUCGGAAUUACUGGGCGUAAAGCGUGCGUAGACGGCUAUCUAAGUCGGGUGUGAAAGCCCCGGGCUCAACCUGGGGAUUGCAUUCGAGACUGAAUAGCUAGGGUGCGGUAGAGGGAAGCGGAAUUUCCGGUGUAGCGGUGAAAUGCGUAGAUAUCAGGAGGAACACCUGUGGCGAAAGCGGCUCACUGGACCACAACUGACGCUGAGGCGCGAAAGCUAGGGGAGCAAACAGG
rnacentral:rRNA from 1 species